UACGUAGGGUGCAAGCGUUGUCCGGAAUUAUUGGGCGUAAAGAGCGUGUAGGCGGCCCGAUUAGUCCGCUGUGAAAGUCCAGGGCUCAACCCUGGAAUGCCGGUGGAUACUGUCGGGCUAGAGUCCGGAAGGGGCGAGUGGAAUUCCUGGUGUAGCGGUGAAAUGCGCAGAUAUCAGGAGGAACACCAAUGGCGAAGGCAGCUCGCUGGGACGUGACUGACGCUGAGAACGCGGAAAGCGUGGGGAGCAAACAGG
rnacentral:rRNA from 1 species